UACGGAGGGCGCGAGCGUUACUCGGAAUUACUGGGCGUAAAGCGCGCGUAGGCUGUUGUGUAAGUUGGGGGUGAAAUCCCACGGCUCAACCGUGGAACAGCCCUUGAUACUGCGCGACUUGAAUCCGGGAGAGGGUGGCGGAAUUCCAGGUGUAGGAGUGAAAUCCGUAGAUAUCUGGAGGAACAUCAGUGGCGAAGGCGGCCACCUGGACCGGUAUUGACGCUGAGGCGCGAAAGCGGGGGGAGCAAACAGG
rnacentral:rRNA from 1 species